CCGACUCCAAUUCCCAACCCCCAGGCGCAGAGUAAGAAAAUGAGCUGGAACUGUCUCCUGAAGCCUGUCAAUGUGAGAUGCCUUGCUCUCCCUUUGCCUUCUGCCAUGAUUGUAACCUUCCUGAGGCCUUACCAGAAGCGCAUGCCGGUGCUAUGCUUCCUGUACAGCCUGCAGAACGAGGCCACAAGUUCCAGAUGGCAUUACUACAAGGGAGGAGCAACCUGGAUUCCUGGAUUUCUGCUCAGAAGAGGACUGCCCUGGAGAGCUACUCAGUUACACUUCAAAUAAGCGAAAAUAAACUUUUAUUUUAUUAAGCCAA